rnacentral:tRNA from 1 species
AAGUGGAAAGCGAAGUGUUGCAUUCAGUUUCGGCCUGGAAUUUGGUGUUAAGUCACCUUCACUUA